GAAUAUUGUACAAUGGGCGAAAGCCUGAUCUAGCCCUGCCGCGUUUGUGAUGAAGGUCUUCGGCUUGUACUACACCUUACCUUGGGAGGAGAGGCAGUAAUCGAAUACCUUGCUGUUUCGACUCUGCCGACAGAAUCGUCAGCUGAGAACUCUGUGCCAGCAGCCGCGGUAAUCCAGAGGGUGGAAGCGGUAAUCGGAAUUACUGGGCGUAAAGCGGGCGUAGGUGGUUCGUUAAGUUGGAUGUGAAAUCCCCGGGCUCAACCUGGGAACUUCAUCCAAAACUGGCGAGCUAGAGUAGGGCAGAGGGUGGUGGAAGUUCCUGUGUAGCGGUGAAAUGCGUAGAGAUAGGAAGGAACACCAGUGGCGAAGGCGACCACCUGGGCUCAUACUGACACUGAGGUGCGAAAGCUUGGGGAGCAAACAG
rnacentral:rRNA from 1 species